rnacentral:tRNA from 1 species
GGAGAGGUGGCAGGGUGGUCGAAUGCGGCGGUCUUGAAAACCGUUGACGGUGCGAAUCGUCCGGGGGUUCGAAUCCCUCCCUCUCCGCCA